rnacentral:rRNA from 1 species
AUUGAACGCUGGCGGCAGGCCUAACACAUGCAAGUCGAACGAGUGGCGGACGGGUGAGUAAUGUCUGGGAAACUGCCUGAUGGAGGGUGAUAACUACUGGAAACGGUAGCUAAUACCGCAUACCAUCGGAUGUGCCCAGAUGGGAUUAGCUAGGAGGUGGUGUAACGGCUCACCUAGGCGACGAUCCCUAGCUGGUCGUAGAGGAUGACCAGCAACACUGGAACUGAGACACGGUCCAGACUCCUACGGGAGGCAGAAGUGGGGAUUAUUGCACAAUGGGCGCAAGCCUGAUGCAGCAAGGCGGCGUGUAUGAAGAAGUCUUUCGGGUUGUAAAGUACUUUCAUCGGGGAGGCGUUACCCGCAGAAGAAGCACCGGCUAACUCCGUGCCAGCAGCCGCGGUAAUUC